rnacentral:lncRNA from 1 species
CUGUUCCGGAUUAGCUUCAUCUCCCUCUAAUCUAGCACUUUCCAAAUCUCUCCGUGAUCCAUCCUCAUCUCGUGAUCACUCGGAUCAGCAUCCCGAUUCUUCCGGCAUCUCUACAUAGCCGUGAGACUCAUUCCAUCGUCCACGUCCUCUACAAUCUUUUCCCCUGCUUCUGAACAAGAACCAAAAUCCUUUCAAUGCCAUGAUAAAGCUUCCCACGGAUCACUUUCUUCCGUGCGCUCCCAGCCAUCCCAACUUCCAGAUC